GGUGCGGCGUGCUUAUGCUGCAAGUCGCACGGUUUUUCCCGCAAGGGAGAGACAGUGGCAAACGGGUGCGUAACACAUAAGUAACCUGUCCUACAAGUGGGGAAUAGCCCUGGGAAACCGGGGCUAAUACCGCAUGUGGUCUUUUCUGGCAACAGGAACGACUAAAGCCGUAAGGCGCUUGGGGAGGGGCUUGUGUCCGAUUAGUUAGUUGGUAGGGUAACGGCCUACCAAGACAGUGAUCGGUAGCUGGUUUGAGAGGACGGCCAGCCACACGGGGACUGAGACACGGCCCCGACUCCUACGGGAGGCAGCAGCAAGGAAUUUUGUGCAAUGGGCGAAAGCCUGACACAGCGACGCCGCGUGAGGGAUGAAGGCCUUCGGGUCGUAAACCUCUUUUCUCAGGGAAGAAUAAUGACGGUACCUGAGGAAUAAGUCUCGGCUAACUACGUGCCAGCAGCCGCGGUAAUACGUAGGAGGCAAGCGUUAUCCGGAUUUAUUGGGCGUAAAGAGUGCGUAGGCGGCUUUUCAAGUCAUGUGUCAAAUUUCCCGGCUCAACUGGGAACCAUCGCGUGAUACUGGAAAGCUUGAGGACAGCAGAGGAAGGUGGAACUCCCGGUGUAGUGGUGAUAUGCGUAGAUAUCGGGAAGAACACCAGUGGCGAAGGCGGCCUUCUGGGCUGUUUCUGACGCUGAGGCACGAAAGCGUGGGGAGCGAACAGGAUCAGAUACCCUGGUAGUCCACGCUGUAAACUAUGGAUACUAGGUAU
rnacentral:rRNA from 1 species